GAAUAGUUUAAUCACAUCUAGACAUUUUACUGGUAAAGUAUCUGGAAUCUGUUUUAAAAGUUUUGCACAUUUUUACUAAAGUUUCAGUUUUCUACCUAUAUGUCUAUGGAGUUCAUGUUAUAAGCGUAUAUAUAACAUUUGCUUGCCAAGUUAUGCUAAUUUCGGGGGAUAUUUUCUUAUCACACUCAUCCACUGGGACAUCUUCCUGGGUGUCCCUGACUGAUUUUAACACACAUCAUUGGUGAGGAUGGGCCGCAACCUGUUGGCGCACAUUUCAACUCACCAUGUUGAGGACAGUGACCACAAGGCGGAUCGUCUACCGUACCGCAUGAUUGAUUCAACCUGCAACUAGUGCGACU